CUGAGUUGUAUUAACUAGAUUAUUCAGGAACCAUUUUGCAGACCACUUAAAACUCUGAUGCACUUAAUUGCACAUUUGGACAGUUAACACUCAAUGUCUAUGCAUUGCCAAGGAGGGAGUGCUUUCCCUUCUCUCCAGACAGGAGGCUCCCAACAUUGAAAACAUUUCAGGGGAAAAGUAACAAAGGCCAUUCAAAUAAGAAGCCUAAAGAUCCCAGGCCACCCAGCUCCAGAAACAACAUAAGAUUGAAUUUUUGCUUCUUCGUCAUUCUGGAAAUAAAUGAGUAUGGCACAGCUAUGGCAUUAAGAGGAAAGAUAGAAUAUUCAAUAGACCUAUCAGAGGCCUUUCAUCACCCUGACGGAUGUGGGACUUAGGGAACAGUCAACAGAAUGCCUUCACCAGUGAUCAUGACCAUUUCCUGGACAGAACAAAAUGCCAACAACUUGGAUGCAGCAACUUCACAGGAACAUAUGAAAGACAUGCAACAUGGAAAACUUAUGGAAGAGCCAACUCCCAGUGAGAACCCAUGUUAAAAUAUGUUAAAUAUGGAAAAUGAUAAAAACUGAAAUCUGUGAACAGUAAUAAAUCUAGUAUUUUUUGACAGCUUACCAUUUUCUAUCUUCUCAACCAUCUUUAAAUCUUAUUAUCCUUAUUUUAUAGACAAGAUAACUGAAAAAUAGAUUUUGUGUAAUGUUCUUAAUAUUUUAUAGCUAGAGGAGACGCAGGGCUUCCCAGGUGGCAGUGGUAAAGAAUCUGCCCGUCAGUGCAGGAGAUGCAAGAGAUGUUAGUUUCGAUCCCUGCGUCAGGAAGAGCUCUUGGAGAAGGAAAUGGCAACCCACUCCAGCAUUCUUGCCUGGAAAAUUCCAUGGACAGGGAGGCUUGUGGGCUGCAGCCCAUGGGGUUGCAGAGUUGGACACGACUGAGCACAUGUGCACACACACCCCCACAUUAGUGGAUGAAGCUGGGACUUACACCCGGCAGCCUGCCUCCAGAAGCCAGGCUCUUAACCAUUGCAUUACACUGAUGAAGAGUCUCCCCCAAAAUGAAGCUGUAUGCAUGUUGCUUUCCAUGGAAUUUGAUGUUCUCUAAUCCAGCUGCCUCAGGUGACCCCAAAAAUUCCC
ensembl:lncRNA